CCACGAGGGGAUGGCCUUAGUACGGCGAGUGAAGCGGCAAAAGCUCAAAUUUGAAAUCUGGCACCUUCGGUGUCCGAGUUGUAAUUUGAAGAAGGUAACUUUGGAGUUGGCUCUUGUCUAUGUUCCUUGGAACAGGACGUCACAGAGGGUGAGAAUCCCGUGCGAUGAGAUGCCCAAUUCUAUGUAAAGUGCUUUCGAAGAGUCGAGUUGUUUGGGAAUGCAGCUCUAAGUGGGUGGUAAAUUCCAUCUAAAGCUAAAUAUUGGCGAGAGACCGAUAGCGAACAAGUACAGUGAUGGAAAGAUGAAAAGAACUUUGAAAAGAGAGUGAAAAAGUACGUGAAAUUGUUGAAAGGGAAGGGCUUGAGAUCAGACUUGGUAUUUUGCGAUCCUUUCCUUCUUGGUUGGGUUCCUCGCAGCUUACUGGGCCAGCAUCGGUUUGGAUGGUAGGAUAAUGACUAAGGAAUGUGGCUCUACUUCGGUGGAGUGUUAUAGCCUUGGUUGAUACUGCCUGUCUAGACCGAGGACUGCGUCUUUUGACUAGGAUGUUGGCAUAAUGAUCUUAAGCCACCCGUCUGAAAAAAGGGGGCCAAAAAAAAAUUUUAAAAUUAGAGUGAAAAAUAAACC
rnacentral:rRNA from 1 species